ensembl:lncRNA
CCCCCACUGAGAGGCAGUCUGAUGUCCCCCCACUGAGAGGCAGUCUGAUGCAGUCCCCCCCACUGAGAUAUGCAGAUAUGUGUAGAUAUAUGAAGCUAUAGGUUUACAUGUAUAGAUACAGUUGAAGUCGGAAGUUUACAUACACCUGAGCCAAAUACAUUUAAACUCAGUUUUUCACAAUUCCUGACAUUUAAUCCUGGUAAAAAAAACUCCCUGUCUUAGGUCAGUUAGGAUCACCACUUUAUUUUAAGAACGUGAAAUGUCAGAAUAAUAGUUGAGUGAUUUUAUUUCAGCUUUUUAUUUCUCUCAUCACAUUCCCAGUGGGUCAGAACUUUACAUACAAAUUUAGUGUUUUUGGUAGCAUUGCCUUUAAAUUGUUUAACUUGGGUCUAAUGUUUCGGGUAGCCUUCCAC